rnacentral:rRNA from 1 species
AAUCAAACCUAAGAGUUUGAUCCUGGCUCAGAGCGAACGCUGGCGGCAGGCUUAACACAUGCAAGUCGAAGGUGAAGUUAGACUUCGGUCUAACAGAAACUGGCGCACGGGUGAGUAACGCGUGGGGAUAUGCCCAAAGGUACGGAAUAACCGUUGGAAACGGCGGCUAAUACCGUAUGCUCCCUCAGGGGAAAAGCUUCGGCGCCUUUGGAUUAUCCCGCGUCCGAUUAGCUUGUUGGUGAGGUAAAGGCUCACCAAGGCUCCGAUCGGUAGCUGGUCUGAGAGGACGAUCAGCCACACUGGGACUGAGACACGGCCCAGACUCCUACGGGAGGCAGCAG